AUUUCAAUAGUUUUCAGAACAAAUUAGUGCAAACAACCUAGACCAACAAAUUUUGUGAAUAUUCAAUUUAUUCUGUUAAAAUUGUUUUUUGCUUAGUCUGAACAUGUUGAAUAAUGAUUAUUAAAUCAAACAACAAUAUUGUUGAUUAUAAAUUCAAAGUUAAUUUUUUUUUUCAAAACGCUAUAAAUCCAUACAUUUUUUCCAUAAAUUGAUGUUUUUUCUUUAAAAAACAAAAAAAAAACAAAAAUAAGAGAACAUGCAACAUAUACUCAGGGAAUCUUCAUACUAUAAAUGAAUAAGUAAAUUAUUCAGAUUGUGACAUACGUUGGAGCCAGUAUGAAAUAAACAGAAUUACACAUAACUAACAUGCUAUUAGAGAUAGAUUAAUCAUGUGAUUCACACAUGCGCAGACAAUUUCACAUGCAUGAAAUCUAAUUCACAUACACAAAAAUAUAUAUAUUCGCAAAAAAACGAUGUACAUACACAAAAUAAAAAUUCAUAUUCAUAAAAUACGUUUCACAAACGAAAAAAAACAAUUCACAAAUGUAGAACUGUGUACGAAAAGUUUUAAAUUGUGAGUUUAUCAUGACUGUGAAUGUACGAAUCGUCUUUUUCGUAUGUGAAUUGCUUUGAAUUCGUGUGUGUGUUUUUUGAGACUUUGGUGGCAGCAUGCUUCUCCAACGUGGGUCACUCGUACUCUUUAGCCAAUCAGAUGCAAGCUUACCAUUCAACCAAUCAUAACCCGCCAAGAGCGCAGCACUCAAGGAGCUUAGCAUUGCACACCUUUUGCGCAAUCAACUGAAAUGAAGCUUCACGUCAUCAACCAAGCAUGGCGAACGAAGUGCGGGAUAUACGUGGACAGCACAUUGUUGCACUACUUUGGCAUCAGUGAAGUUCACAGCUGUACUGAAACGGUUGAGAGCUGACACAGACCUAGAACAAUGAGGUUCUGUCUGCAAGACCCAAAGAAAGGAAGCUUGCUAAUGUAUUAAGAUACAACACAAAAAUUUUGCAAUGUAGUAUUUUACACACACACACACACACACACACACACACACACACACACACACACACACACACACACACACACACACACAUACACACACGCAGACACACAUAUAUACUUCACAAAAGACAUACUGUAUGAGAUCAGGCUCAUUUCACUGAAAAUGUUUAUGUAACAGAUAAAGUCCAUACGAGUGGUUAUUACAGAACAAUCCAUUACAAUGUACAAAACAAUAGUCCUGUCCAGA